rnacentral:rRNA from 1 species
GAUGAACGCUAGCGGCAGGCCUAACACAUGCAAGUCGAGGGAGAAGCCCUUUCGGGGGCAGAAACCGGCGCACGGGUGCGUAACGCGUAUGCAACCUACCUUUCACAGGGGGAUAGCCCGAAGAAAUUUGGAUUAAUACCCCAUAAUAUUAUUGGAUGGCAUCAUUUGAUAAUUAAAACUGCGGUGGUGAAAGAUGGGCAUGCGUCCUAUUAGCUAGUUGGAGUGGUAACGGCACCCCAAGGCUACGAUAGGUAGGGGUCCUGAGAGGGAGAUCCCCCACACUGGUACUGAGACAGGGACCAGACUCCUACGGGAGGCAGCAGUGAGGAAUAUUGGUCAAUGGUCGGAAGACUGAACCAGCCAUGCCGCGUGCAGGAAGAAUGCCUUAUGGGUGGUAAACUGCUUUUAUAUGGGAAGAAUAAGGUGUACGUGUACAUUGAUGACGGUACCAUAUGAAUAAGCAUCGGCUAACUCCGUG